rfam:Nocardia seriolae N-2927 DNA, contig: contig00018.
GUCGGUCUUCGGUAGUGGCUUUUCGGGGCGUGGCAAGAGAUGAACCAUGCGCGCCCGGAGGGCUUCGAUCGAUGACCGCC